rnacentral:rRNA from 1 species
CAAGCGGUGGAGUAUGUGGUUAAUUCGAUGCAACGCGAAGAACCUUACCUGGUCUUGACAUCCCGGAGACCCUUAGGAAACUAGGGGGUGCUUCCAUCUGGAAGAAUCUGGAGACAGGUGCUGCAUGGCUGUCGUCAGCUCGUGUCGUGAGAUGUUGGGUUAAGUCCCGCAACGAGCGCAACCCUUGCCUUUAGUUGCCAGCAGUUCGGCUGGGCACUCUAAAGGGACUGCCGGUGUUAAACCGGAGGAAGGUGGGGAUGACGUCAAGUCCUCAUGGCCUUUAUGACCAGGGCUACACACGUACUACAAUGGCCGAUACAAAGGGCAGCGACACUGCGAGGUGAAGCCAAUCCCGUAAAAUCGGUCUCAGUCCGGAUUGGAGUCUGCAACUCGACUCCAUGAAGUUGGAAUCGCUAGUAAUCGUGGAUCAGCAUGCCACGGUGAAUACGUUCCCGGGCCUU